AAGAGGACUGCGGGACAGGACCCACCAGGGAAGAUGAGAUGCAAAUACACGUGACACAACUACCAGAGUGGCAUGGUGUCUCCUCCCUGGGACAAAAGCACACUCUUUGUUUCCCAGUACAGUGCCUGGAGCACUCAGUA